CCAGAGAACUUUCCAGAGAUGGAUUGGUGCCUUUCGGGAACUCUGAGACAGGUGCUGCAUGGCUGUCGUCAGCUCGUGUUGUGAAAUGUUGGGUUAAGUCCCGCAACGAGCGCAACCCUUUAUCCUUUGUUGCCAGCGGUUAGGCCGGGAACUCAAAGGAGACUGCCAGUGAUAAACUGGAGGAAGGUGGGGAUGACGUCAAGUCAUCAUGGCCCUUACGAGUAGGGCUACACACGUGCUACAAUGGCGCAUACAAAGAGAAGCGACCUCGCGAGAGCAAGCGGACCUCAUAAAGUGCGUCGUAGUCCGGAUUGGAGUCUGCAACUCGACUCCAUGAAGUCGGAAUCGCUAGUAAUCGUGGAUCAGAAUGCCACGGUGAAUACGUUCCCGGGCCUUGUACACACCGCCCGUCACACCAUGGGAGUGGGUUGCAAAAGAAGUAGGUAGCUUAACCUUCGGGAGGGCGCUUACCACUUUGUGAUUCAUGACUGGGGUGAAGUCGUAACAAGGUAGGCGUAGAUGA
rnacentral:rRNA from 1 species